UAGGCGCUGUCACGUGGAAUCUCUUAGCCUCUGCAUCCGGAGCUGCUGGAAGGGAGUCAGAUAGAAUUCAGUACCGCUUUCUUUGAGAUCAUCCUUCAAGAACCAGCCACAUCAUGAUCUCAGUUUCAACACAGUUGUUCCUAGUCCUCUUUUCAUUGCUUUUGGUGCUGCCUGUUGUUGAAGCAGUAGAAGCCGGAGAUGCAAUUGCUCUCUUGUUAGACUGUUUUUAUCUCUGUGAAGUUUCUAUGAACUAAGUGGAGACGAGUAGAUGCCUUAUCUUAACUGAUGACUCCAGCUUUUAGAGAUAUAAUCAGUGAAAAAUGAGAAAUGGGCAGCAUCAAG
rnacentral:lncRNA from 1 species